rnacentral:rRNA from 1 species
CGGGAAAUUGGCCGGCUCACCCCUGCAAGUCGAACGGUACCGGAAUAUCCCUUUUUUUUUGCUGACCAGCGGCCGAGGCCUUUAAAUGUUUGGGAAAAUGCCUGAGGGAGGGGGAAAAAGACGGUGAACAGGAAGAUAAAACCGAAAAAGGGCACAAGACCAAGGAGGGGGACCUUCGGGCCUCUUGCCAUCGGAUGUGCCCAGAUGGGAUUAGCUGUGGGGGUGGGGUAACGGCUCACCUACGCCAAUAUCCCUAGGUGGUCUGAGGGGAUGACCAGCCACUCUGGAACUGAGACACGGCCCACACCCCUACGGGAGAGCGCUGUGGGAAAUAUUGCACAUGGGCGCCAGCGCUGAUGCCCCGUGCCCCGAGUAUGAAGAAGGCCUUCUGCUUGUAAAGCACUUUCAGGGGGGAGGAAGGGAGUAAAGGUAAUACCUUUGCUCAUUGAUGAUAACCCGCAGAAGAAACACCCGCUGCUCUCUGCGCCACCACCCCCGAGAAUACAGAGGGUGCCCGCGUUUAUCGGAAUUACUGGGUGUAAAGCGCACUCCGGCGGUUUGUUAAGACAGCAUGUGAAAUCCCCGGGCUCAUCCUGUGAACAGCGUCUGAUACUGGCGAGAUUGAGUCUCGCAGAGGGGGGGAGAAUUCUGUGAGUAGCUAUGAAAUGCGUAGAGAUCUGCAAGAACAGCCCCGUUAAGAAGCGUGCCCCUGCAACUAAAACUGGACAUCAGGGGCAUCAGAGAGGAGAGCAAACACGAUUAGAUACCCUGCACAACCACCACCACAACUAUGUCAACUUGGAGGUUGUUGUCAUGAGGAUUGUCUUCCCGGAUCUAACUCGUUAACACCACCCGCCGCGGGCAGACGGCCGGAAGGGUAAAACGUAAAUUGAAUUGACAGGGGGCCGCACCUUACGUUCGAAGUAUGUGGAUUUAAUUUAUUCCAAUCAAACAAACUUACCCGGGUAUUGAAACCCACUUACCUAUAUAAAUAUGUAAA